rnacentral:rRNA from 1 species
AUACGAAGGGGGCUAGCGUUGUUCGGAAUUACUGGGCGUAAAGCGCGCGUAGGCGGGUCGUUAAGUUAGAGGUGAAAUCCCAGAGCUCAACUCUGGAACUGCCUUUAAUACUGGCGACCUAGAGGCCGGUAGAGGUGAGUAGAAUUCCUAGUGUAGAGGUGAAAUUCGUAGAUAUUAGGAAGAAUACCAGUGGCGAAGGCGGCUCACUGGACCGGUACUGACGCUGAGGUGCGAAAGCGUGGGGAGCAAACAGGAUUAGAAACCCUAGUAGUCC